CGCGAAGAAGUACAACAAAGGGCCAACGGGGAGGUCCAACGGUCCGACCCCAGCCGGACUCGAGCUCACUCGGUUGCAGGCGUUAGGCUCCCAGCGGCUCUCAGCCGUUAAGUGGAGAAUGUUCAGGACUGUCGAGGCGCGCUCCGCACCUGGCCUGAAAGCGGGAGAUUUGGCAACCAGUGCGCGUGGGUGCGCCGGCCCUUGCAGCUGGGGACUCUGGAGGCAGACCUUGCCCAAAGCCAGAGGCAGGAACUCCCCAGAUCCUCCCAGGGUAGCAUGGGAGGAUGCCGCCUCCUCCAGGAAGCUCUCUAGCGCUUUUCCGAGUCCUGGAGCCAGGCGGGACUUCUCUGUGGUCGCCUAGAAGGGUAUGAACUUAGGGCAUCCCCAUCUGGGCUGUGAAGGUUUCUGACUUGGGGACCAGGUGCUCAGACCUUCCUGGAUGCUGCUUUCCACAAUAUCUCUACCAGGCAGAGACCAACAAUUGUCAGCACAGCAAAACUGGGCAUUUCUUUUCUUACUGAGCUUUGCAGCUACCUACACAGUUGUGUGUGGCAUCUCCUCCUGGGUGCAAGGACAUGAGAUGACAUCAGCUACGAGCCUAUAUCCUUCAACCCUUGGAAGCCACUGAUCUGCUUUCUGUUUCUAUGGAUCCCCUGUUCUGGACAUUUC
rnacentral:lncRNA from 1 species